rnacentral:rRNA from 1 species
CAGAGCCUUCCCACUCAAGAUGCCCAUGAUCUGGCUUGAUCUCAGAAGCUAAACAGAGCCAGGCCUGGUUGGUACUUGAAUUGGAAACUUAUAAAGGCUUGGA